rnacentral:rRNA from 1 species
CAGUCGAGGGGCAGCAUGAACUUAGCUUGCUAAGUUUGAUGGCGACCGGCGCACGGGUGAGUAACACGUAUCCAACCUGCCGAUGACUCGGGGAUAGCCUUUCGAAAGAAAGAUUAAUACCCGAUGGCAUAGUUCUUCCGCAUGGUAGAACUAUUAAAGGAUUUCGGUCAUCGAUGGGGAUGCGUUCCAUUAGGUUGUUGGCGGGGUAACGGCCCACCAAGCCUUCGAUGGAUAGGGGUUCUGAGAGGAAGGUCCCCCACAUUGGAACUGAGACACGGUCCAAACUCCUACGGGAGGCAGCAGUGAGGAAUAUUGGUCAAUGGACGAGAGUCUGAACCAGCCAAGUAGCGUGAAGGAUGACUGCCCUAUGGGUUGUAAACUUCUUUUAUACGGGAAUAAAGUGAGGCACGUGUGCCUUUUUGUAUGUACCGUAUGAAUAAGGAUCGGCUAACUCCGUGCCAGCAGCCGCGGUAAUACGGAGGAUCCGAGCGUUAUCCGGAUUUAUUGGGUUUAAAGGGAGCGUAGGCGGACGCUUAAGUCAGUUGUGAAAGUUUGCGGCUCAACCGUAAAAUUGCAGUUGAUACUGGGUGUCUUGAGUACAGUAGAGGCAGGCGGAAUUCGUGGUGUAGCGGUGAAAUGCUUAGAUAUCACGAAAAACUCCGAUUGCGAAGGCAGCUUGCUGGACUGUAACUGACGCUG